UGAGGAAUAUUGGACAAUGGAGGAGACUCUGAUCCAGCCAUGCCGCGUGUAGGAAGAAUGCCCUAUGGGUUGUAAACUACUUUUAUACAGGAAGAAACACUGGUAUGUAUACCAGCUUGACGGUACUGUAAGAAUAAGGACCGGCUAACUCCGUG
rnacentral:rRNA from 1 species